rnacentral:lncRNA from 1 species
CACCUAUAUAACCUCCUCCACCGGCGGUGUUAGGGAUGACAAUAGCAAGCAACAUGAUACCAGUAAUGUCUACGGAUCAGACACCCGUAAACAACAUGGAACUAUAGGUGAUACCGGUAGACAGCAAGGACCAACCGCUGGCUUUACUGCUGACACUGGUAGACAACAUGGAACUACCGGUGGUUUUACUGGUGACACCCAUAGACAAUAUGGCACUACCGGUGGUUUGACCGGUGACACCGGGAGACAACAUGGGACUACCGGUGGUUUUACUGGUGACACCCGGAGACAACAUGACACCGGGAGACAACAUGGGACUACCGGUGGUUUUGCUGGUGAUACCGGGAGACAACAUGGGAAUACCGGCGGCUUCACUGCUGACACUGGUCUGGGAGGCCCUUACGUUGGAGCCAACACCGCUGACACAGGGACUGGUCCUAGAAGUGGAACCACAGGUGGCAGCGG